UUUUUCAGUCCCUUUACCUUUGAGGGUACUAUUAGAUAUCUUGGUGGAGAUAUUGGGUAGGCAGCUAGAUGUGUGAGUAUGGUCAAAAGAAAAGAGGUCUAUCCAGGAGAUAUGGGAGAAUUACUAAUGUACAAGUGUGUUCUGAAGCCGUGAGAUGAUAUGAGAAUCCUCUUAAGGAGAAAAUGUAAGCAAAGACGAAAAGAGGGCUACAGAGAGAGCCAUGCAUGCUCCAAGAUUUCAGAUCUAGUUUGUUAGUAGGGGAAAAACCAGGGAGGAUGUCACAGAACCAGAGAUGAAAUGUUUUUAAAAUGGACAAUAAUUGGGUGUAGAUAUCUAAUGAGACUUCAAGAUAGAACAGGAAAAUCACAUUGGAUUUGGCAAGAUGGAAGUAAUUAAUAACCUUUGGAGGGACCAUUUAUGUACAAUGGGGUUGGAAGUGAGAAGAUAAAAAUGCUCAGUCCGAGUGGAUGGCAAAGAAUGAGAAGUGCAGAUGGGAGUGCACACAAGCAUAUUGAUGAUUCCCAUGGCUGGUAUUCCACACUCUGAAAUGCUAUGCACUCUGUGUUCACCAGCUUAAUCUGUGAAAGGGACAAAGAUGCAAUUUUGUCCCUCCCCAAACCUGCUAGUGCCUGUGUUAUAGGCUGAAUUAUAUUCUCCCCCAAAUUCAUAUAUUGAAGCUCUAAGCCCCAGUGUGACUGUCUUUGGAGACAGGGCUUUUAAGGAGAUAAUUAAGGCAAAAUUAGAUCACAAAAGUGGGGCUUAAGCCAAUAGGAUAGUGUUCUUAUAAGAAGAGGAACAGACAGGGAGACUGCACACAGAGAGAAAUGACCAUGUGACACCACAGUGAGAAGAUGGCCAUCUGCAACCAGAGAGAGGCCCUAGGAAAAAUCUAACCUACCAACCCCUUGAUCUUGGACUUUC
rnacentral:lncRNA from 1 species